ACACAAGCUCUCAUCCGAGAGUAAAGAGAAAAAGAAAAGGGUGGGUGAGAGAAAUCCCAUCCGGGGAGGAUGGAUGAAAGUAAUCCCAUCCGGGAGAGGGUGGAAGAAAGAAAGAAAAAGAGAGAGAAUAGAGAGAGAGAAAGAUAGUUCAAAUAAAAUGGUGUUUUAUUUGGGUUCCAUCACAUAGUUAUUGUGGUGAAGUAAUUUGAGUUUAUACUCAAAUUAAGAUAUCUUUGUAUUCUCUCAUAUUAUUCUAGUGAAUUAUUCGGAGUUUGUCCCGUGAUUUUUACCUCUUAAUUUUAGAAGGUUUUUCACGUAAAAUCUUGGUGUCUCGUGGUUGGAUUUUUCUACUUAUUAUUUCCUGCAUGAUUAUUAUUUUGGUGGAACUGCGAAUUUAAUCUGUUUGGCAUGUGCUGAUAUUUUAUCCGUCUAAUUUAUCAAAGACAACAGUAUUUGGGAGCUGAUUUUUUUCCAACACCAAUGACCAUUUUAUUGACUUGACAAAUUGGAGCUAGUGGUAUUCGAACCCUAAAAAUCCGAAUUUACUGCUCGUUUCUGGGUCUCAUUUGAACUAAUGUGCCAAACUCAGAUUGUACCUGAUUUGAGUUUGGCCCCGAAGGAUUGUAGCAAUGUGUGACUUGCCUAUUUCUACAAUUCAUUUUCUCUCCUCAAUUCUCUCCCGUUUCAUUUCCAUGGCGACCACGAACGAAGAAGAAACCUCCUACGUCUCACAGAAGCAGCCAACCAAAUGAUGAGUUUAGAGAUUAAUGGAUUAAGGUUUUCUAUCAGGAUAACAUUUUCUCUACUUGCAGACAUCGGUAUUAUGUUUGGAUUAUAGAGAAAAGUUUGUAGGUUUGUUCCUUUUUGUCUACUGCGAUUUGAUAAUUUGCUAAAAUGAAGGAAUGAUAUUUGUUAAUAAUUUUCUUUUAUAUUUUAUAAUUUCUUUAAUUAUUUAUUUCUUUAUAUUACCC
rnacentral:lncRNA from 1 species